GGUAGUGUGGCCGAGAGUUAGGUGGCGAGUUGUAGCCUCGCCGAGGGGGUGACAGGAGAUGCCCCCACUACCA
rnacentral:tRNA from 1 species